rnacentral:rRNA from 1 species
AUUGAACGCUGGCGGCAGGCCUAACACAUGCAAGUCGAGCGAGCGGCGGACGGGUGAGUAAUGUAUGGGGACUGCCCGAUCGAGGGGGAUAACUACUGGAAACGGUGGCUAAUACCGCAUUCUAACGGAUAACCCAUAUGGGAUUAGCUAGUAGGUGGGGUAAAGGCUCACCUAGGAGACGAUCUUUAGCUGGUCUGAGAGGAUGAUAAGCAACACUGGGACUGAGACAAGGCCCAGAAUCCUACGGAGGCAGCAGUGGGGAAUAUUGCACAAUGGGCGCAAGCCUGAUGCAGCCAUGCCGCGUGUAUGAAGAAGGCCGUAGGAUUGUAAAGUACUUUCAGCGGGGAGGCGGUACCCGCAGAAGAAGCACCGGCUAACUCCGUGCCAGCAGCCGCGGUAAUUC